UGGGUAACCUGCCUCAAAGAGGGGAAUAGCCUCCCGAAAGGGAGAUUAAUACCGCAUAAUAUGUUUAAGUCGCAUGACUUUAACAUCAAAGGAUUUUCUUUUAGAAAUUCCACUUUGAGAUGGACCCGCGGCGCAUUAGCUAGUUGGUGAGGUAACGGCUCACCAAGGCAACGAUGCGUAGCCGACCUGAGAGGGUGAUCGGCCACAUUGGAACUGAGACACGGUCCAGCUCC
rnacentral:rRNA from 1 species